UGGUCACACAAGUGAUUUACAUUUUUCUGCUUGGGAAGUCUUUAAUGACUAAGAUGAAUGCCAGUAGUGGGUGUUGUACUUGGAGUUGGGAACCCUUCGGUACUACUGAAAGGAUACAGAUUACAGUGCCUGGAAAAGGUGGCAAGCUUUGAAAUAGCGUUUGCCAUCUCUAAAAAGGUACUCCAACAAACUAGAUUUGACAUCAUUUCUGAUACUUGUUGUAUCUCCUACAAGACAGUAUUCAUGGGAAUGGUAAAGCAGCAUUUACAACUUUGCGACAUUAUUCCCAAACGUACUUCCUGACUCAUGUUCCAUUUGAACGAAUUUUCAGCGCUCAGGAAAAUUACAGAGUGUAUUGUUGUAAAGGACUCUGCUCGCAGUAUCAGUGUACAUCCAAACAGGCUUCUGUUUCUUAGAGAGUAUUACAGAAAUAAAAGGCAUUUUCUAUAUAGAAAGAUUAAACAGCAUUAUAUACAUGAAAUUUAUAUGGAUCUGUAACAUGCCAUGGUCUUCAAAAAUAGUCAGUUAUGAAAAACUAUUUUAAUUAAACUUUAUUGUAUAAAGACUGUGGCACAAUUUUAAGAG